rnacentral:sRNA from 1 species
GUGCACCCUUCUUUGUGUUCGGGUUAGGAGGAGCUAGGCUGCCAUCGGGCCGGUGCAGAUACGGGGUUGCUCUUUUGCUCAUAAGAGGGGCUUCGCUGGCAGUCUGAACGGCAAGCUUGAGUCAGGACCCUUAAUUAAGAUCCUCAAUUGGCUGGAGGGCAGAUCUCGCGAGUAGGGUACAAGGCACUAUGAAAUGAUCUAGUUUCGUGGGUGAGGGGCUGAAGGGCCUAUGAUGCACGGAGGCGGGGAAAGGAUUUAGAGAUAACAUGGUUUGAAAGGCGGGACCUGGUGCGGGGACGCUCUUGGGAGGAGUCUUCUCCCCAGCCUUAGCUGGUUUCAUGAUUUCUUUGCGUCUGUAGGCAACGCGGUAAAAAUAUUGCUUCGGUGGGUGACGCGGUACAGCUGCCCAAGGGCGUUCGUAACGGGAAUGCCGAAGCGUGGGAAAAAGGGAGCGGUGGCAGAAGACGGGGAUGAGCUCAGGACAGGGGUUUGUGAAGAAGUCGCAGGAACCGUAGGCUUUCGUUGGGUCUAUAGUUAACGCCGGAUCGCAGUUGGAAACCACCAGCUUUUU